rnacentral:rRNA from 1 species
AAUCCAUAGGUUAAUGAGGCGAACCGGGGGAACUGAAACAUCUAAGUACCCCGAGGAAAAGAAAUCAACCGAGAUUCCCCCAGUAGCGGCGAGCGAACGGGGAGGAGCCCAGAGCCUGAAUCAGCAUGUGUGUUAGUGGAAGCGUCUGGAAAGGCGCGCGAUACAGGGUGACAGCCCCGUACACAAAAGCGCAUGUGCUGUGAGCUCGAUGAGUAGGGCGGGACACGUGGUAUCCUGUCUGAAUAUGGGGGGACCAUCCUCCAAGGCUAAAUACUCCUGACUGACCGAUAGUGAACCAGUACCGUGAGGGAAAGGCGAAAAGAACCCCGGCGAGGGGAGUGAAAAAGAACCUGAAACCGUGUACGUACAAGCAGUGGGAGCACCCUUUGGGUGUGACUGCGUACCUUUUGUAUAAUGGGUCAGCGACUUAUAUUCUGUAGCAAGGUUAACCGAAUAGGGGAGCCGGAGGGAAACCGAGUCUUAAUUGGGCGUUAAGUUGCAGGGUAUAGACCCGAAACCCGGUGAUCUAGCCAUGGGCAGGUUGAAGGUUGGGUAACACUAACUGGAGGACCGAACCGACUAAUGUUGAAAAAUUAGCGGAUGACCUGUGGCUGGGGGUGAAAGGCCAAUCAAACCGGGAGAUAGCUGGUUCUCCCCGAAAGCUAUUUAGGUAGCGCCUCGUGAAUUCAUCUCCGGGGGUAGAGCACUGUUUCGGCUAGGGGGCCAUCCCGGCUUACCAACCCGAUGCAAACUGCGAAUACCGGAGAAUGUUAUCACGGGAGACACACGGCGGGUGCUAACGUCCGUCGUGAAGAGGGAAACAACCCAGACCGCCAGCUAAGGUCCCAAAGUCAUGGUUAAGUGGGAAACGAUGUGGGAAGGCCCAGACAGCCAGGAUGUUGGCUUAGAAGCAGCCAUCAUUUAAAGAAAGCGUAAUAGCUCACUGGUCGAGUCGGCCUGCGCGGAAGAUGUAACGGGGCUAAACCAUGCACCGAAGCUGCGGCAGCGACGCUUAUGCGUUGUUGGGUAGGGGAGCGUUCUGUAAGCCUGCGAAGGUGGCCUGUGAGGGUUGCUGGAGGUAUCAGAAGUGCGAAUGCUGACAUAAGUAACGAUAAAGCGGGUGAAAAGCCCGCUCGCCGGAAGACCAAGGGUUCCUGUCCAACGUUAAUCGGGGCAGGGUGAGUCGACCCCUAAGGCGAGGCCGAAAGGCGUAGUCGAUGGGAAACGGGUUAAUAUUCCCGUACUUGGUGUUACUGCGAAGGGGGGACGGAGAAGGCUAUGUUGGCCGGGCGACGGUUGUCCCGGUUUAAGCGUGUAGGCUGGUUUUCCAGGCAAAUCCGGAAAAUCAAGGCUGAGGCGUGAUGACGAGGCACUACGGUGCUGAAGCAACAAAUGCCCUGCUUCCAGGAAAAGCCUCUAAGCAUCAGGUAACAUCAAAUCGUACCCCAAACCGACACAGGUGGUCAGGUAGAGAAUACCAAGGCGCUUGAGAGAACUCGGGUGAAGGAACUAGGCAAAAUGGUGCCGUAACUUCGGGAGAAGGCACGCUGACACGUAGGUGAAGUGAUUUACUCACGGAGCUGAAGUCAGUCGAAGAUACCAGCUGGCUGCAACUGUUUAUUAAAAACACAGCACUGUGCAAACACGAAAGUGGACGUAUACGGUGUGACGCCUGCCCGGUGCCGGAAGGUUAAUUGAUGGGGUCAGCGCAAGCGAAGCUCCUGAUCGAAGCCCCGGUAAACGGCGGCCGUAACUAUAACGGUCCUAAGGUAGCGAAAUUCCUUGUCGGGUAAGUUCCGACCUGCACGAAUGGCGUAAUGAUGGCCAGGCUGUCUCCACCCGAGACUCAGUGAAAUUGAACUCGCUGUGAAGAUGCAGUGUACCCGCGGCAAGACGGAAAGACCCCGUGAACCUUUACUAUAGCUUGACACUGAACAUUGAGCCUUGAUGUGUAGGAUAGGUGGGAGGCUUUGAAGCGUGGACGCCAGUCUGCGUGGAGCCGACCUUGAAAUACCACCCUUUAAUGUUUGAUGUUCUAACGUGGACCCGUUACCCGGGUUGCGGACAGUGUCUGGUGGGUAGUUUGACUGGGGCGGUCUCCUCCUAAAGAGUAACGGAGGAGCACGAAGGUUGGCUAAUCCUGGUCGGACAUCAGGAGGUUAGUGCAAUGGCAUAAGCCAGCUUGACUGCGAGCGUGACGGCGCGAGCAGGUGCGAAAGCAGGUCAUAGUGAUCCGGUGGUUCUGAAUGGAAGGGCCAUCGCUCAACGGAUAAAAGGUACUCCGGGGAUAACAGGCUGAUACCGCCCAAGAGUUCAUAUCGACGGCGGUGUUUGGCACCUCGAUGUCGGCUCAUCACAUCCUGGGGCUGAAGUAGGUCCCAAGGGUAUGGCUGUUCGCCAUUUAAAGUGGUACGCGAGCUGGGUUUAGAACGUCGUGAGACAGUUCGGUCCCUAUCUGCCGUGGGCGCUGGAGAACUGAGGGGGGCUGCUCCUAGUACGAGAGGACCGGAGUGGACGCAUCACUGGUGUUCGGGUUGUCAUGCCAAUGGCACUGCCCGGUAGCUAAAUGCGGAAGAGAUAAGUGCUGAAAGCAUCUAAGCACGAAACUUGCCCCGAG